rnacentral:lncRNA from 1 species
GCACAUGUGAGAAGCCUGGCUCUUGAUUCCAAAGAACUUAUGUUUCAGGAGCGUGACCCUCACCAGAGGACAUUGGCCACCCUCUAGCAAGAGGAGGAGGGCAGCCUAUCCCGUUUCUCAGACGGAACCCAGACCGCACUGGGUCCUCCAGGAGACCGAGGAGCUGUCCAGGCAACUGCCCAGAGCUUGUGGGUGGCAAUAUGGGUGCAUGUAGACAGAGUGAGAAAAAAAAAAGGACAAGACACCAUGUGCAGAAUAAUGUCAAAGUAAGCUAAGCUCCCCUCCAUUUUUCAUAUUGUUUCCUAUUUUCAACAGCUACUGGGUGCCAGAGAGGAAAGGAAGAACUU